rnacentral:misc_RNA from 1 species
AGAUGGUAAAGUACUGGCAUCAGGUACUGCUUCUUAUCUCAGAACUUUUUUAUCAGUUACAACUCAAUCAAAUUGAUGGCAUGUAAACCAGGAUGCUUAUCCUCAAAUGUUAUGAUAGUUGCUGCACAUACAGGCUUGGCAAUUUGCAAACCUAGGAUCUGUUGGACUUGGAUCCCUUUGCCACGCCUUGCCCAGUUGAGCCAAAGCUCAACUGAAGCAGUAGAUUCUGGUGCUGUUAUUCUGUGAAUGAUAUGCUAUAAAUGGAUAUUGGCUGACUUUUUAUUUCUGUCUAUACUUUGUGUAGGCUCAAGAAAACAUUGAAGGUC